rnacentral:rRNA from 1 species
AGCAGCCGCGGUAAUUCCAGCUCCAAUAGCGUAUAUUAAAGUUGUUGCAGUUAAAAAGCUCGUAGUUGAAUUUCGGGAUUAAUAUGUUGGUCGUGCCUUGGUACGUACUGGCAUUAUUGAUUCCUACCUUCUGAAGAACCUCGAUGUCAUUAAUUUGGUGUCUUGGGGAAUCAGGACCGUUACUUUGAAAAAAUUAGAGUGUUUAAAGCAGGCUCGCGCUUGAAUACAUUAGCAUGGAAUAAUGAAAUAGGACGUUUGAUUCUAUUUUGUUGGUUUCUAGGAUCGACGUAAUGAUUAAUAGGGAUAGUUGGGGGCAUUAGUAUUCAAUUGUCAGAGGUGAAAUUCUUGGAUUUAUUGAAGACUGACUACUGCGAAAGCAUUUGCCAAGGAUGUUUUCAUUAAUCAAGAACGAAAGUUAGGGGAUCGAAGACGAUCAGAUACCGUCGUAGUCUUAACCAUAAACUAUGCCGACUAGGGAUCGGAUGAUGUUAAUUUUUAAUGUACUC